AAGGGCACAAGGUGGAUGCCUUGGCACAUGAAGGCGAAAAAGGACGUAAGUGAACGAAAACUAGGGUAAGCUCACAAAAAGCAUUGACCCCUAGGUCUCCGAAUGGGGCAACCCGGUUGUGGAAGACACAAUCAUUACUAAGUGAAUACAUAGCUUAGUAAGGCGAUACCCUGCGAACUGAAACAUCUAAGUAGCAGGAGGAAAAGAAAGAAACAUCGAUUUUCUAAGUAGCGGCGAGCGAAAGGAAAAGAGCCUAACUCAUUAGUGAUUUAGUAAUGUUAGUCAAAUUAUCUGAAAAGAUAAACCAAAGAAAGUGAAAGUCUUGUAGACGAAAACAUUAAUAAACGAGAGGGAAAGUAUCACCGGGCACGAGUAACCCGGUGUGAAGAUAGGGGGCCCAUCCCCUAAGGCUAAAUACUAACAUGUGACCGAUAGUGAACAAGUACCGUGAGGGAAAGGUGAAAAGAACCCCGAAAGGGGAGUGAAAUAGAACCUGAAACCUAGUGCCUACAAGCAGACAGAGCGUGAGCGAACGUGAUGUCGUACCUUUUGUAGAAUGGGCCAGCGAGUUAUUCUAAAUUGCAAGGUUAAUGAUUUAAGAUCAGAAGCCGUAGCGAAAGCGAGUCUUAAUAGGGCGAAAGUAAGUUAGAAUAGACCCGAAACCGGGUGAUCUAUCCAUGGUCAGAGUGAAGUUGAAGUAAAAUUCAAUGGAGGCUCGAACCGGGUGCGGUUUAAAACGCAUCGGAUGAACUGUGGAUAGGGGCGAAAAACCAAACGAACCCGGAGAUAGCUGGUUCUCCUCGAAAUAGCUUUAGGGCUAGCCUCUGACCUAAGAUUUUAGGAGGUAGAGCACUGAAUGGUCUAGGGCGGAUUACCGUACCAAAACCUAUCAAACUCCGAAUGCCAAAAAAUCAAGUCAGGGAGUCAGACUUAGGGGGAUAAGCUUCUAAGUCGAAAGGGAAACAGCCCAGACCGACAGCUAAGGUCCCAAAAUUUGAAUUAAGUGGAAAAGGAUGUGAAUCUACUAAGACAACCAGGACGUUGGCUUAGAAGCAGCCAUGCAUUUAAAGAAUGCGUAAUAGCUCACUGGUCAAGUGGGUUUGCGCCGAAAAUGAACGGGGCUCAAAUUCAAUACCGAAGCUUCGGAUUAAUAGAGGGAUUAAGUUUACAAAUGAGACUAGGAAAUAUUUAACAAAAACAGAAGAGAUUAAAAAGAAAAACAAAUUUCAGACGCAGACAUAAAAGAUAGGAUAUUAAAAAGAAAUAUUCAAAAAACACAAGUCUAAAGUCAAAAGUGAGUAACAUAAGAAAUUAUGAACUAACAAUCACUGGUUAAGAGUUAAAAACUAGGACUCAUAGCUAAACUUAAUACCUCUAUUAGUGGUAGAGGAGCAUUGUAUUAGAGACGAAGCCAAGGCGAAAGCAAAAGUGGAUCUAAUACAAGAGAGAAUGCUGGCAUGAGUAGCGAGAAGGGAUGUGAGAAUCAUCCCCGUCGAAACCCUAAGGACUCCUGAGCAAGGCUCGUCCCCUCAGGGAAAGUCGGGACCUAAGCCAAGGCCGAAAGGCGUAGGCGAUGGAUAACAGGUUUAUAUUCCUGUACCGCUUGAAGUCGUUAAGAGAGAAGUGAUGACGCAAAAGGAUAAGCAAAGCCAUCAGAUGGAAAAGAUGGUCUAAAGCCGUAGGAAGAAAAGUAGGCAAAUCCGCUUUUCACAAAUUCUAAAAGCCGAUAGGUAUCGAAAACAUAAGUAGAGAAGUUGCCGAUUCCAGGUUGCCAAGAAAAGUCACUAUCCAGACCAAAGCGCCCGUACCAAAACCGACACAGGUAGGGAGGUAGAGAAUACCAAGACGCGCGGAAGAACCUUUGUUAAGGAACUCGGCAAAAUGUCCCCGUAACUUCGGGAGAAGGGGAGCCUGAGCAAUCAGGCCACAGAAACCAGGCCCAAGCGACUGUUUACCAAAAACACAAGUUUCUGCAAAAUCGCAAGAUGAAGUAUAGGAGCUGACACCUGCCCGGUGCUGGAAGGUUAAGGGGAAGGCUUAGAGCAAUCGAAGGCUAGAACUUAAGCCCCAGUAAACGGCGGCCGUAACUAUAACGGUCCUAAGGUAGCGAAAUUCCUUGUCGGGUAAGUUCCGACCCGCACGAAAGGUGUAACGA
rnacentral:rRNA from 1 species